UACAGAGGGGGCAAGCGUUGUUCGGAAUUACUGGGCGUAAAGGGCGCGUAGGCGGCCUGUUAAGUCGAACGUGAAAUCCCCGGGCUCAACCCGGGAACUGCGUCCGAUACUGGUAGGCUUGAGGACUGGAGAGGAGACUGGAAUUUACGGUGUAGCGGUGAAAUGCGUAGAUAUCGUAAGGAAGACCAGUGGCGAAGGCGGGUCUCUGGACAGUUCCUGACGCUGAGGCACGAAGGUCAGGGGAGCAAACGGG
rnacentral:rRNA from 1 species